UGGGGAAUUUUGGACAAUGGGCGAAAGCCUGAUCCAGCAAUGCCGCGUGUGUGAAGAAGGCCUUCGGGUUGUAAAGCACUUUUGUCCGGAAAGAAAUCCUUGGCUCUAAUACAGUCAGGGGAUGACGGUACCGGAAGAAUAAGCACCGGCUAACUACGUGCCAGCAGCCGCGGUAAUACGUAGGGUGCAAGCGUUAAUCGGAAUUACUGGGCGUAAAGCGUGCGCAGGCGGUUUGCUAAGACCGAUGUGAAAUCCCCGGGCUCAACCUGGGAACUGCAUUGGUGACUGGCAGGCUAGAGUAUGGCAGAGGGGGGUAGAAUUCCACGUGUAGCAGUGAAAUGCGUAGAGAUGUGGAGGAAUACCGAUGGCGAAGGCAGCCCCCUGGGCCAAUACUGACGCUCAUGCACGAAAGCGUGGGGAGCAAACAGGAUUAGAUACCCUGGUAGUCCACGCCCUAAAACGAUGUCAACUAGUUGUUGGGGAUUCAUUUCCUUAGUAACGUAGCUAACGCGUGAAGUUGACCGCCUGGGGAGUACGGUCGCAAGAUUAAAACUCAAAUGAAUUGAC
rnacentral:rRNA from 1 species